rnacentral:lncRNA from 1 species
GGCGGGAGUGGCUGUGCCGCAGCCUCCCCUCCCNNNNNNNNNNNNNNNNNNNNNNNNNNNNNNNNNNNNNCCCGCCUCCCGCACGAGGCUCAGCGGCCAUUUCGCGCGCGAUUUCCUUCAAUGAGCCCGAGCUUGUGCUCCCGCGCGAGGUUAUUUUUCUUCUGCAGUUCUCACAGCUCUGUGACUCAUUUGGUCCUGGGGCUCUUGGCCGGGCAAGACUUCUCCUGGGAGGGUUUCUUCAGGACCAUGUACAAGAUCCUGGCAAAGGAAACCGCCAGGCUGCUCACUGGCCCAAGCGGAACUCCUCCAAGGAAGUUUAACUUUUUCAGAUGUGUUCUCCCUGCACUUGAGGAAGCCAUUUUCCUGAAAGCCCACAGGCUUCUGAAACAAAGAGAAGGUGUGAGAGGAGUAGUGUUGGGGUCACCUUUAGCAGCAGCCUGGACACUUCUCAUCCACGAGACAGAGAAGGGUCCAAGAUGGUGACCAGCACAGCUGAAACAAAGCUGACAAGGCCUCGAGUGAACUUGCUUUCAAUUUACAGAUAAUCCGAAUGUGCCUCAAGACUCCAAAGGCUCUUCUCAAGCAAUUAUCACAUUAUUAUAUGAUUGCUUCGCUAAUGUUUUGUGUCAUUUUCUUUUCCCACUUGCUCCCAUCCACCCACUCUUUUUCAUGCAGAUUUUUCAACACGUAUGGUAGAGUCAGGGAGAAGCAGAAAAUCAAGAGAAGAAGGGUGGGAGGAAUGUCAGAUCAGAAGGGUGAGGAAAUGGUAAUGGUGAUAAAAAGCUCUUAAUCAAAAGGAAACUAGAAAGAAGAGCAGCUGGGCAUGGUGGCAUGUGCCUGGAGCCCCUGCACUCUGGAGGCUGAGACAGGAGGACUGCUUCGAAUUUGAGGCCAGCCUGGGAUACAUAGUGGGUUCAGGGACAGCGAGAUGCUGUGUCAAAAAACAAAACAAAACAAAAC